AUCUGUUGAACAACAAACAACAUUCAUGCUGAUUCACAUAAUAUCCUGUCUCUACUCUCUGGGAUUUCCUCGUAGCUCUUUGAUGCAAAGAACAUCCAUCAAACGCUCCAGCUUGUGCUCAACAUCAUCGUGAACGGUGAAGGUACUCUGACGAGAAAAUACUCAGUCGACCUUUUGGUUGAUUUGUUAAAGAACCCCAAAAUAGCUGAUUACCUAACAAGGUAUCCCCACUUCUCGGCAUGUGUGUCUCAAGUGUUAGGACUGCUGCAUUGGAAAGACCCAGACCCUGCAGCCAAGGUGAGAGACGACAAAUAUGAUAACCCACACCAGCUGUGCUUAACUCUGUAAGUUCCCAGUAUUCCCUGAAACCAUCACGUGUGACACAGUUUACAUCAGACGUGAUGCAGCUGACGUCAACACUGACCUUCUUGUGGUAACAGAGACUUAAAAAAAUAAUAAUAAAGCUCCAAUCUCCUCAGGCGGACUCUCUUCUAGGCUCUCCUGACUGUUCCCUUUACAUGUUGAUGAUGUGUCUUGUAAAUCUGGAUCCCUUUCCAGCAGGACGCUCCUCUUUUUCAGACAGUACCUCAGCUGCUCUCUCUCCUGACAGUCAGCUGUCCACCUCUGCAUGGCCAGUCGAGCCAGCGCCGGCAUUUGAGGCAGAGCUCGGAGCAGAGCGGGCAGCCAGGCUGAGCACGGAGCAGAGGUUGAAGGUCGCAAACUGACAUCCACGUCUUCCAGAGAGCCCAGACCUCCUGCUGCAAACAGACUGCACCAACCGUUGUCUCCCACCAAGCUGUUGUAGGACAGAUCCAGUGCACGGAGUGAGGAGAGACAGCCCCGUCUGCACACGGCAGCUGCACAGAGGAAGAGGACCCAUUGAUAACUGAUCACUUUAUGCCUGUUCACUUUACUGUUUUGUUCACAAUGUUUCUGAUGGAGACAAAAAUAACACCGAAUAGUUUCAUUGUUUUGUUUUAUACGACAGCUACAGAUGCUGGCAGCAUGAAAUAAAUGAAAGAAAUAUCAAUUUC